UAAAGGUAUUCCGGUAGACGAUGGGGAUGCGUUCCAUUAGAUAGUAGGCGGGGUAACGGCCCACCUAGUCUUCGAUGGAUAGGGGUUCUGAGAGGAAGGUCCCCCACAUUGGAACUGAGACACGGUCCAAACUCCUACGGGAGGCAGCAGUGAGGAAUAUUGGUCAAUGGGCGAGAGCCUGAACCAGCCAAGUAGCGUGAAGGAUGACUGCCCUAUGGGUUGUAAACUUCUUUUAUAAAGGAAUAAAGUCGGGUAUGUAUACCCGUUUGCAUGUACUUUAUGAAUAAGGAUCGGCUAACUCCGUGCCAGCAGCCGCGGUAAUACGGAGGAUCCGAGCGUUAUCCGGAUUUAUUGGGUUUAAAGGGAGCGUAGAUGGAUGUUUAAGUCAGUUGUGAAAGUUUGCGGCUCAACCGUAAAAUUGCAGUUGAUACUGGAUAUCUUGAGUGCAGUUGAGGCAGGCGGAAUUCGUGGUGUAGCGGUGAAAUGCUUAGAUAUCACGAAGAACUCCGAUUGCGAAGGCAGCCUGCUAAGCUGCAACUGACAUUGAGGCUCGAAAGUGUGGGUAUCAAACAGGAUUAGAUACCCUGGUAGUCCACACGGUAAACGAUGAAUACUCGCUGUUUGCGAUAUACUGCAA
rnacentral:rRNA from 1 species